GAUGAAGAACGUAGCGAAACGCGAUAAGUAAUGUGAAUUGCAGAAUCCAGUGAAUCAUCGAAUCUUUGAACGCACAUUGCGCCCGCCAGCAUUCUGGCGGCCAUGCCUGUUCGAGCGUCAUUUCAACCCUCGACCUCCCCUUGGGGAGGUCGGCGUUGGGGACCGGCAGCACACCGCCGGCCCUGAAAUGGAGUGGCGGCCCGUCCGCGGCGACCUCUGCGCAGUAAUACAGCUCGCACCGGGACCCCGACGCGGCCACGCCGUAAAACACCCAACUUCUGAACGUUGACCUCGAAUCAGGUAGGACUACCCGCUGAACUUAAGCAUAUCAAUAAGCGGAGGA
rnacentral:misc_RNA from 1 species